rnacentral:rRNA from 1 species
GACGAACGCUGGCGGCGUGCUUAACACAUGCAAGUCGAGCGGUAAGGCCCUUUCGGGGGUACACGAGCGGCGAACGGGUAGAGUAACACGUGGGUGACCUGCCCUCAGCUCUGGGAUAAGCCUGGGAAACCGGGUCUAAUACUGGAUAUGACUCCAUGACGCAUGUUGUGGGGUGGAAAGCCUUGUGCGGCUGAGGAUGGGCCCGCGGCCUAUCAGCUUGUUGGUGGGGUGANGGCCUACCAAGGCGACGACGGGGUAGCCGGCCUGAGAGGGCGACCGGCCACACUGGGACUGAGACACGGCCCAGACUCCUACGGGAGGCAGCAGUGGGGAAUCUUGCGCAAUGGGCGAAAGCCUGACGCAGCGACGCCGCGUGA